CUGUGAUUAACUGCUGUAAGCAGACAGGUUAUCUGGUCACUAAGGCCCUUCCUAGCCUUGUUUUCUGCAAUGCUGUUCUUUAGCUAUCGUUGGGGCACUCUUCCUUGGGGGCUUGAUGUGCUGUAGGACACUUGGUAUGGAGUGUGAACUCAUUCCUGUAAACCUUGUGGUGCACUGGGUGCUGCCAAGUGUAAGUCAUUAUUUACAAACUCAAUGAAUGACGAUGAAGGCUGAGUUUCCAACUAAGCUGUCAAGCAUCUCUUGGGCUCAUGAAUAAGAUGUUCAGGCACAGCAGAAAUAGAACAGCUGAGGUAUUUUUAUGAAACCUUAGUCAAAACCAUGUGUGCUUUUUGCCUUGCUCUUCAGUCACCACCUAGUGUUUGCACCCUCACCAAUACAGCCUGUGCUGCUUUUCUCUAUUAGUCCACACACGGAUUUAUUAGCAAAGAUGUCAACUGUGCUGAUGAAGGGAUAAUUGAAGCAGUACCAAAUAGCAACAGCAUGAUUUUUUCUGUAAUGUCUGUUCAAAAAAAAAAAAAAACACAUCCAAAGGAACCAGAAGUAAUAAUUAUGAAAUGAAAUUAAAUGCAAGGCAAUGCAGGACUUGCCAGAGCCAAAUGGAAUUAAAAUGCCAACGAUUCUGAGUUUAGCUCUGAAUUCAAACAUUAACUCCCAUUAUAGUCCUAGCGUGGCAAUUAGGCUAUUCCACUCUUUGGUGGUGGAUAGUAUGAAAUAGCAAAUACUACAAGAACUACCCAUCCAACAGCAAUGGAGAGAGGAACGUGGAGGAGAAAACAGUAGUUCUUCCUUCUGGAUGGCCAUGUGGCCUUCUGGAUGUGUUGGAAAGCUGAGUGCUCUGACAUGCUGGCUUUUUACUUUGACCAUAUUCACGUCCAGGUGUGUGAUGAUUUUCAUGCUUAUGUAUGGGAAGCAGAGACAGAGUUGGUCCUGAUGGAAGAAGAGACUCUUGUAGCUGACAGCUGGCAGUGCUGUCCCCAGUACAGCAAUUUAGGGAUCAGCAGCUGGCUGAUGAGAUUGAAGGUCAAAGCCCGAACAGUCUGGUCUGAAAGAAGAAAACAACAGAGCUGCAAAGUUAGUGAUACAGUGCCUGUCCCAUGUGCACACAUUCAAUGUUAUGGAUUUUGUUACAAAAAUUAGAAUGCAGAAACAUGAAAAUGCAAUGUGAGACAUUUAAGAGGUGAAUGAGGAGAUGCUUAUUCCUUCUUUCCUCCCACAUCGUCUCAGCCCAAAUACGCAGGUUUUUGUCAAGUUGUCUGAUAACUUUUCAGGCACAGCCUUACUACUUUCCACAAAAUGUGAAUGGAAGUUGGUGGAUAUAUUGCAUGGGGAGACAAGUUGGAAGUGGAACUGGCUGGAUUAGCCUUGGACAAAAGCAUGUCUGUUAAAGGAUAACUUUCUGAAUGCAACAAUGCCAGCAGAGUGGCACUUGUGUUCACCAGCACUGGACAUGUGGAAAUCAGAGUGUCUGUGUGUAACAGACAGGUGUUAAAGCACAGUUGAUGCUAAACUUGGGCUCACAGUUUUGUAUGUACUGAGUGCAGUGUGGGGCACUGAUUAUUGCACAGUGAGAAUUGGAUCUGAAGAAGUAAUAAUUUUCUCCAUGGUUUUUGUCUGAAACAAAUGAAAGUUAUCAUAGAAAUAUAUCACUGGAGACAUUCCUGGAAAGAACAUUCUGUGCAAUUAUUUGUGCCUGCUAGAGGCAUAACAAAAUGUAAAGGCUGAAAACUCAAGCUGGGAAAAUGCACUUCAGGAUCAUGACGUGGGUUUUCAGUAGUGCAAUGCUCUCCGUGGGCAUGGGCUAUUGAGAGAAGCAGUCAACUUCAGCACUGCAGAUGAAAGGAUUCAGGACUGGAAGCUUCUAUAAAAAAAAAAAAAAAAUUGUCUGAGUCCAUGAGCAGUUACUGAACUUGCUGACAAGUAUAUAUGCACAGCAAGGCAUACUAAGUAAUGGCCCCUAUUUGUUCCCAUGGAAACUGGAACAGAUUAAAAGAGCACAAUAACACAAUCUGAAAGAGCAAGUUCUCAGCUCUAAAUCACUGUUUUUCAACAUAGUUAUCACUGUUAACUCUGCAUUUUCACCAGUAAUGAACAAGGUUCUGCAUGCUGUGCUCAUAAAUAUCUGCAUGGCCAUCCACAGCAUCUUAUUUUUCACAUUGCUGUCACCACCCAUGAAAUACAGCACCCGCUGUCUCCUUGUGCCAACAGCCACACUUAGGGCUCCAUAAACACUCAGUGAAUGUCAAUAAAUGUCAAUGGGUGCAUAUUUUUCCUCACAGGGGAAUUUGGUUCCACCCUUUGCUCCAUCCCCACUUCCACGAGGCACUGUUCUGUCAGACCGCCCCUCUGCUGCCCUCUGUUACACAGCACCAAAUGAAUACUGGCAGGAACAUCCAACCCCUGCUGCCAUACCACCUCCAUCCACCUCUGAUGGCAAUGGCCAACAUUGUAAAAUAGGAGGCACUAUUUUUGAAGCAGCCCUCAUAAUGUUCUUCAUUGCAGGUAUUACUGAGCAAAAUUGUGUCUGCUUGUGUUUCAGGUCAGGUUAGAUGACAGUGGCCUUCUCUAGCCUUGGUUGUGACAGAGACAGUGAGGGUUUGCAAGAGACAAAACCACAAAAAUCAGCUGUUUGAGCAGUGACCAUUCCCUUGUUAGGGGCAGGAUUGCACCACAGUGGUUGGACAUGCGUAGAGCUUACGGUAGGUUGUGCAGCACUGUGAGCUGAAAGGCCAGUUAGCACACUCAAUAUUGGUUGCUGUAAAAGAGCACUAAUGAGUGUGCUAAUUAUGUAGCAGCUUGCAGUGACACACACAUAGAAAAUUGUGACGAUUGGAUGUUGAAAUAUUCCUUCACAUGUUUUUAUUUUGGUAAAAGUUCAAUUAGUUUGAUGCAAUUUACCUUGUGCUGUCCUGUUCACUGAAGAUUGACUAUAGCGACUACCCAUGGAGACUCAGAGGGCCGUGAUGACCCAGGUGACUCAGACUUCUUGCUGUGUUAGAAGCAAAUUCUGCACAACCGAACUCUCCUUUCUGAGGCCAGCAUGGUUGGGUAGCCAACCACAGACAAAGGCCAUUAAUGCACAGAGAGACAUACAAGAUUAUAAAACUCACAGUCUUCAGCUAGGAGCCUUAGGAAGAACAGAAGUUUCCCUUAUCUUAUGUGUUAAUUUGUAUCUGCAUGUAUUGGAGCCAAUAGAAACGAUGUAUUAGUCAUUCUCAAAACAAAAUUGUAUAAGUAAGCCAUUUCCCCCCCCCCCAAGUAUUUCAUUAUCUGGAACACUGCAGUCAUUUUUAUCUGUUUUUAGAAUUCAUUUGUCAGUGUCUUUCAAGAACUCUUGCCUUGAUGCACUUUGUCCAGAGUGGGCUACCCAGUACUGCACUUAGAUAGGAAAGGAGAAGUGAGAAGAAGAAAGGGAGUUUGGAAAUGCAAAGAGCUCACAAAGUCACCCAUUAAUCCGUUUACACGUAGAAGUGAACUUCACAAUGUGAUCUAAAUGGCUGCUGGGGAUUUCAGGCACUCCCAUUAAGAGAAGAUUAUGAUUCCGCUGUCUUACUGUGUAAGAGGUAAUGUAGGAAAGGCUGAGCAGCAGCUGGAUGUUCAAACUGAGGGUUUUCUUUAACCAUUUCAGCACGUUUCCUUGAAGCCUUUAGUCUCAUCCAUUUGGAUGGGCAGCAGAGGAAAUUUUGUUUAUGGUUAGGCUCGUUCCAGCCAUGAAAUUAACAGAAUAAGUACAGAUAAAAGUAGAAAGAUUAGGGAGAUUUUAAUUUGGUACAGGCAUUCUUAAAUGUUUAUUUGCUUUUUGGUCUUGGAACUUGCCCCAUCACUUAAUGAAUAAGAAUGCUCCAUAGCAGCUGCAAAGAACAGCGGUGAGAUGAAGGCAGUAUGAAUUGAGUGGCCUGGGACAAAUAGUAAAGUUAGGAGCAUUAACAAAAUCAUUUUUGACAACUGAUGUAAACUGAAAGCUGCAGAUCAUACAAGAAGGAAGGGUGAGAGGUACCAGGAGGCAGUCACUGCUUUGUGUUUUAUUUCCAUAACAAAACUGACUUAAAUGAUGCCAUGCAGUUGGUGACAACAUAGCCUUCCUAAAGAUCUGUAAAGCAGAGCUCCCUCAUCCUUGGCAUCUCAUCAUCUUGGUGAAGAUGAGUGAGUAAAACAUAUUCUCCACACCUGUGAAUGAUUUCCACAGCUGACUCUGAAGCAGUGGUAUGCUCUAAUUUCCAGAAGUUGGGAGAGCUGCAGCCUAAGGCCACUUCUCCGCAUCCCUGCAUGACCUCGUGCUGCAGCACUGCCAUCCUCAGGGGGCACCCGGGGUCCCUCACACUGAGCUGUUGUGCUGCACCUCCUUAUGUCACCCUGUGACCAUUUCAGCAGAUGUGAAGUUAGGAGAGCACCUGAGGGUUUUAUUUAUCCUGGACAAUGGCUGAGUUAAGCAGACGUUGGUAUCUGUGCCUUGAAAUGAGUGGGAUUAAUGAAUGUCUACAGUUUCCACUGUUAAGAUUGAAGAAGAAAUUCUUAAGGCCUUCGCUGCCCACAGAAUGUACAGACAUUCCUUUUUUUGGCUCUUUUUCUCCCGUGUUUCCCAAAAUUCCCAUAGAACCCAAGGAGAGCAUUGGUACAGCAUUGUUUUUAUAGCACUCUGGGUUCGCAGCAUUCUAAAACACAUCAGUGACUCAUCUGAAGUUUUUGAUUACAACUUCUUGCCUCAGUGCUUACAUUCACUUCUUAAAUAUUGACGGUGUCCUGAAAAAGUCGUGUUACCAAGGAGAAAGUAGCAAUGGUUUAUCAGAACACACAGUGCUUGAUAACCCCUGCAGAAGGGUAGAACUUUGAUUCACAGCUACUUUAUUUCUGCUUUAUGCCAACUUAAUUAUAUCCUAAACGGGGGACAAAAGGACCUUUUCCCACCUUUGCUAUUGUGUCACUCUUUCACUCUGCUGACACACCAAGGCUUCCCAGAUCUCCAUUCUGCUCCGUUCCAGGGGAUGUGUUACCUCAAAUCACUUACAGCAUGUUUAGCCAGUAGGAGUUUGUGAAUUGUUUUAUCAUUCUUGCUGGAAAAUUUGUUGAAUUGUUGAUAUCACUCCUAAUAGUUUCCAGCUUUGUGUCAUUUAUGUUCAUGUGAGUUGCUUUUUUUUUUUUUUCUUUUUCUUUUUUUUUUUUAAUUUAUUGAACACAUUCAUCAGGCAUUAUUUAUGGAGUUUGAUGUUAUUACAGCCAUGAUUGUGAGAUGUGAUAUUUUCCUGGUGUUUCAUUUUAUUAUCCUUUGCAUACACUGUAAAGACUCAGCUCUGCCCAUCAAACAACUUUUGCUUUGGUUUUCAGUCAGGUUAACAGUCUCUUGUUUUUAACACCAUCUUUUCCAAGAAACCAGCAAAGGUUACCUGACUGUUUUUCACAUCCUCUCAGGUAUUUCAGUGAGCUCUCCUUGUGCUGCUGAUUGCUUUCCUUUGCAAAUCAGAGCCUUUUUCAGCUUGACUGUAUAAAGGACUCUCCAAGUGCACCUUUGGGUGCUUAUGGAAACAUUGUCAGCUAGGAGCAGAUGACUGGAAAUUAGCUCAAGGCUCCAUAUUUUGAGAUCAGCAGUCACAGAAUAAUGACGGUAUUUUCCUUCAUGUGUUUAAGAGUCAUGGAUUACUCCCCCUGCUUUACAGCUGGACCGAGCAGCGUGGCUCCAGUAGACUGUGGAGGAGCUGCAUUACAAGUCUUAACUCUGUUGAGUGCUUGGAAACUAAUCAGGGAGUAUGCUGUUACCUCGCAGGUCCUCAGAAUUUUGACUGUGAUUUGCAAUUCCUGUGACGAUUUGCAGACUUGCCCAGCACCAUCUGAGCAUUAUCUAAAGCAGUCACACCCUGAGAUUCUUUGAGAUCUUCCUUGGGAAAACCAGAGCCCAGUUCUGUGCCUGACCACUCUUUCAGAGAAGAAAAUUUUCCCAAUAUCUAACCUGAACCUCUCCUGGUGCAUCUAGAUGCCUUUCCCUCUCAUCCCAUCACCACAUACACAGGAGAAGAGAAUGACCCCCACCUCACCACAGUAAGGUCUCCCCUGAGCCUUCUCUUCUCCAGACUGAACAAUCCCAGUUCCCUCAGCUGCUCCAGACACCUCCCCAUGUUGGCCAAAGCCCCACCCAGUUCACUGAUAGGGUACCCACACUGCUCUGGCCAUCCUAUGCCAGUGUCUCAUUGUUCUCAAGGUGAAGAAUUUCUUCCAAAGUCUUGAAUUUCUUUUACAUCUGCCUGUGUACAAGCAGGUGACAUCAUCUGGUGGAUGGAUCCAUUAGUGAUUCAGGCAGCUGGAAGCCAAAUUUGAACUUUUCUGCUGUUUUCCAUCCAAAAACCACAGUAUGCUUGAAAAAAGAAAAAAAAAUGUUGUAAAUAAAGACUCUUAAUUGCUACUAGAGCAAAAGGAGUAAUGGAUAUUUUCUACAGAUGGAAAUAAUACAUAAAGCAACACAUGCAGCAUUUGUUAGUAUUACAAAAGUGAGGACAUACAAAAGAAGCACAGAAUGGUUGACAUUGGAUGGAGCCCAUGGAGAUUGCUUAGUCCAGACCCCCUGCAUGAAGGCAGGAGCAGCUACAGCAGGCUGUCCAGCUGUGCCUGGGUGACUGCUGGCUGUGUCCAAGGAUGAAGACUCCACAGCCUCUAAGGAAUCUGUCACAGCACUUGACUGUACCUAUGAGGAAAAAAAAAUAACUUAGGCCUAAAUGGUAUAUCCUGUAUUUUGGUUUGUGACCCAAAACUACAUUAGAUUUAAGCACGUGUCUUCUAUUCAUGUUCAGUUAUUGAAGACAAGAUGACAACAAAUAGCAGCACAUUGCCCUGACUCCUCGCCCUAUGGCACAAGCACCACUGUCACCGCUACUAACAUCAGAGAUGAGUUCAUAGCAGACAUUUCAUAAGACAUCUGAUGCAGAAUGCAAGCUGCUAAACACUGAUGUUCUCAGGUCUCUGAAACUGAGGUACAAAGGCUGUAUGUGUGUUUGAAAAGCAAACAAACAACAGAGACAGAAAGAUGUAUAGGCUAACAAACUCAACACAUUGCUGCAACUGUUUCAAGAGCUUUAUUUAUUACAAGCACUUUGGAAGGAAGGACAAAAGCAUAUGCCAGAAAAUGAUUAAAGAGUGAACUGGGGAAGUUUAGACUCCUUCGGAAUAAAUCUAAGUAAUGGACAGCAUUUAUUAUGUCUGUUUAAAAGCAAAGUAAUAAGGACAAAGGGUAAAUCUACACUAGCAAUUAGCUAUGAAUUCUUUUUUUGUGUCUAUGCCACCCAGCUACAGUCAUGUCAGCUUUCUAUAUUCACUUGCCAGAAAAAGAGCUGUGCAAAACCAUGACUUUUGUUCAGGCAGGAGGUAGAUAUAUGCUUCAGCUGCUGUCCACAGCUGCACACAAUCAAUAUGCACCAGGCCUGCAAAUACAGAGAGAUCUUCCCCCAAAAAAUCUUACUCCAGGCUGAAUUCCAAUUCCUUACUAAGAUAUCUUUUUUUUUUUUUUUUUUUUUUUUUUUUUUU
ensembl:lncRNA